AACUGGCUGGCUCAGUGGGUAGAGUAUAUGACUCUUAAUCUUGGGGUUGUGAGUUCAAGCCCCAUGCUGGGCA
rnacentral:tRNA from 1 species